UUUCAUUCAUUCAGAUCUAGGAGGUGUUAUUUUAGUGUUCCCUUUAUUUUUAUGAGCAGUGUAUUAAACUGACAGAUACCUGAAUGGAGUUUGGUAGAAAUUCAUGUUGUCUCCGAUUAGAGAGGAGGAGCCACUACUGAACAUGCAUUCACACAGCUUUGUUUUAUAUUUCCAGAGACAAGCCUGCAUCCUGAGCUCCUCGUGGAAUUAAAGAAUACAUCUAGUGUCAGCGGUGCAGUGAGGAAUGCACAGACCUGUAGACUGGGGGAACUAAACAACACAGCGGGAUGAGCUCCUCAGCAGGUUACUACAUCUGAAGCACAGAAGACCAAAGAAAUUAUGAUUUUCUGCCAUAAUCUAGCAGCCCUAGAAAGAAGACGUUUCUUUACAGGAAGUCCGCUACAGCAAACUGGCAGAUCUGUGAAUGGAGUUUGGUGUGGAGUCAUGGCGGUGGCUCUGUCUGAUGCUAACAGUUAGCUAGCUGUCGGCACGUUAGCCGGUCAGCAUGAAGGUGAUAAACUAGCAGCAUGCUAACCGAUGCUAACCGCGGCUCCUGUUGCAGGACAAACCGGAGAACGUGUGUUUACGUCCCGAGCAGCUGCUCCGGUAAACAAACGGUUUACUCACUUUUU